rnacentral:rRNA from 1 species
GAUGAACGCUGGCGGCGUGCCUAAUACAUGCAAGUCGAGCGGACAGACGAGGAGCUUGCUCCUCUGACGUUAGCGGCGGACGGGUGAGUAACACGUGGAUAACCUACCUAUAAGACUGGGAUAACUUCGGGAAACCGGAGCUAAUACCGAUAAUAUAUUGAACCGCAUGGUUCAAUAGUGAAAGACGGUUUUGCUGUCACUUAUAGAUGGAUCCGCGCCGCAUUAGCUAGUUGGUAAGGUAACGGCUUACCAAGGCAACGAUGCGUAGCCGACCUGAGAGGGUGAUCGGCCACACUGGAACUGAGACACGGUCCAGACUCCUACGGGAGGCAGCAGUAGGGAACCUUCCGCAAUGGGCGAAAGCCUGACGGAGCAACGCCGCGUGAGUGAUGAAGGUCUUCGGAUCGUAAAACUCUGUUAUUAGGGAAGAACAAAUGUGUAAGUAACUAUGCACGUCUUGACGGUACCUAAUCAGAAAGCCACGGCUAACUACGUG